UACAGAGGUCUCAAGCGUUGUUCGGAUUCAUUGGGCGUAAAGGGUGCGUAGGCGGUGAGGUAAGUUGGAUGUGAAAUCCCGGGGCUUAACCCCGGAACUGCAUUCAAUACUGCCUUGCUAGAGUACUGGAGAGGAGAUUGGAAUUCACGGUGUAGCAGUGAAAUGCGUAGAUAUCGUGAGGAAGACCAGUGGCGAAGGCGAAUCUCUGGACAGUAACUGACGCUGAGAAGCGAAAGCAUGGGUAGCAAACAGG
rnacentral:rRNA from 1 species